CUACGGGUUGCUGCAGUGAGGAAUAUUGCACAAUGGGGGGAACCCUGAUGCAGCAACGCCGCGUGGAGGAUGACGCAUUUCGGUGUGUAAACUCCUUUUAUGUGUCAAGAAAAUGACGGUAGCAUAUGAAUAAGCACCGGCUAACUCCGUGCCAGCAGCCGCGGUAAUACGGAGGGUGCAAGCGUUACUCGGAAUCACUGGGCGUAAAGUACGCGUAGGCGGGUUGGAAAGUCAGGUGUGAAAUCCUACAGCUUAACUGUAGAACUGCACUUGAAACUUCUAAUCUAGAGUAUGGGAGGGGGAGAUGGAAUUAGUGGUGUAGGGGUAAAAUCCGUAGAUAUCACUAGGAAUACCUAAAGCGAAGGCGAUCUCCUGGAACAUUACUGACGCUAAGGCGUGAAAGCGUGGGGAGCAAACACGAUUAGAUUCCCGUGUAGUC
rnacentral:rRNA from 1 species